rnacentral:rRNA from 1 species
GUGCCAGCAGCCGCGGUAAUACGUACUGGGCGAACGUUAUUCGGAAUCACUGGGCUUAAAGGGUGUGUAGGCGGUUCGGCAAGUCAGAUGUGAAAUCCCCCGGCCUAACCGGGGAACUGCGUUUGAAACUGCCGUGCUUGAGUGCGAUAGGGGUGCGCGGAACUUCCAGUGGAGCGGUGAAAUGUGUUGAUAUUGGAAGGAACACCGGAGGCGAAAGCGGUGCACUGGGGCUUAACUGACGCGGAGGCACGAAAGCCAGGGGAGCGAACGGGAUUAGAUACCCCGGUAGUCCUGGCUGUAAACGAUGGGCACUAGACGGGAGACGCUUCGGCGGAUCCGGUCGCAGCGAAAGCACUAAGUGCCCCGCCUGGGGAGUAUGGUCGCAAGGCUGAAACUUAAAUGAAUUGGCGGGG